rnacentral:lncRNA from 1 species
CUGAAUAUGAGGGAUAGAAUUGAGUAAAGACUGGUUAGAAGUGGAUAAAGUUGUGAAAGAAAAUUGAUUAGUGAAAGAGGGCAUAAAAAAAGUAAAAACAUCAGCUAAAUGUACAACACCACAUAUGUAGUCAGACAAAUAUGCAGGGGUUCUAUGUUCCCUAUGCGACCUGCGUAAUGCAUUUUCCACCAUAAUAGGAGAAGGGGAAGGAGAG